rnacentral:rRNA from 1 species
CCCUUAGAUGUUCUGGGCCGCACGCGCGCUACACUGAUGCAUUCAACGAGUUUCUUCCUGGUCCGAGAGGAAUGGGUAACCUUUUGAAAGUGCAUCGUGAUAGGGAUAGACUAUUGCAAUUAUUGGCCUUCAACGAGGAAUUCCUAGUAGACGUAGUUCAUCAGACUGCAUCGAUUACGUCCCUGCCCUUUGUACACACCGCCCGUCGCUCCUACCGAUUGAAUGCUCAGGUGAGCCAUUCGGACUUUCAUCAUGCUGGUUUCCAGUUUUGAUGAAGGAAAGUCUUGCGAACCUUAUCAUUUAGAGGAGGGAGAAGUCGUAACA